UACGUAGGGGGCAAGCGUUGUCCGGAAUCAUUGGGCGUAAAGAGCGUGUAGGCGGCCAGGUAGGUCUGCUGUGAAAACUCGAGGCUCAACCUCGAGACGUCGGCGGAAACCAUCUGGCUAGAGUCCGGAAGAGGAGAGUGGAAUUCCUGGUGUAGCGGUGAAAUGCGCAGAUAUCAGGAGGAACACCAAUGGCGAAGGCAGCACUCUGGGACGUGACUGACGCUGAGACGCGAAAGCGUGGGGAGCAAACAGG
rnacentral:rRNA from 1 species